AUACCACCCUUUAAUGUUUGAUGUUCUAACGUGGACCCGUUACCCGGGUUGCGGACAGUGUCUGGUGGGUAGUUUGACUGGGGCGGUCUCCUCCUAAAGAGUAACGGAGGAGCACGAAGGUUGGCUAAUCCUGGUCGGACAUCAGGAGGUUAGUGCAAUGGCAUAAGCCAGCUUGACUGCGAGCGUGACGGCGCGAGCAGGUGCGAAAGCAGGUCAUAGUGAUCCGGUGGUUCUGAAUGGAAGGGCCAUCGCUCAACGGAUAAAAGGUACUCCGGGGAUAACAGGCUGAUACCGCCCAAGAGUUCAUAUCGACGGCGGUGUUUGGCACCUCGAUGUCGGCUCAUCACAUCCUGGGGCUGAAGUAGGUCCCAAGGGUAUGGCUGUUCGCCAUUUAAAGUGGUACGCGAGCUGGGUUUAGAACGUCGUGAGACAGUUCGGUCCCUAUCUGCCGUGGGCGCUGGAGAACUGAGGGGGGCUGCUCCUAGUACGAGAGGACCGGAGUGGACGCAUCACUGGUGUUCGGGUUGUCAUGCCAAUGGCACUGCCCGGUAGCUAAAUGCGGAAGAGAUAAGUGCUGAAAGCAUCUAAGCACGAAACUUGCCCCGAG
rnacentral:rRNA from 2 species